rnacentral:rRNA from 1 species
UACGAAGGGGGCUAGCGUUGCUCGGAAUCACUGGGCGUAAAGCGCGUGUAGGCGGCCUUGCAAGUUGGAUGUGAAAGCCCACGGCUCAACCGUGGAAGCGCAUCCAAAACUGCAUCGCUCGAGUCUCGGAGAGGAAGGUGGAAUGCUUGGUGUAGAGGUGAAAUUCGUAGAUAUCAAGCAGAACACCUGCGGCGAAGGCGGCCUUCUGGACGAUGACUGACGCUGAGACGCGAAAGCGUGGGGAGCAAACAGG